rnacentral:rRNA from 1 species
UACGUAGGGGCCGAGCGUUGUCCGGAGUUAUUGGGCGUAAAGCGCGCGCAGGCGGCCUCGCGCGCCCGACGUGAAAGCCCCCGGCUUAACCGGGGAGGGUCGUUGGGGACGGCGGGGCUUGAGGGCGGGAGAGGUCGGUGGAAUUCCCGGUGUAGUGGUGAAAUGCGUAGAGAUCGGGAGGAACACCUGUGGCGAAGGCGGCCGACUGGGCCGACCCUGACGCUGAGGCGCGAAGGCGUGGGGGAGCGAACGG